GUUAGCAUAAUUAGGAAGUCCGUUAGUAGCUAGCUCAUUAAAACUGUUACAAUUCUUAUCGUAAAACGCUUUUAUUCCCACCUUUGGUUCUUUUUCAUGACGGUCUGAUCUGGUGAUACGACUUCAAGGCAUUUUAAGAACGAGUUUGAAUUACUACUGGCAUUUCACUUCAUCAGCGACUCCUGGUGAGAUCGGGGAGAAGGCGACAUCAGACCAGUUUCUUGGCGAUGAAGAAGUCUUUGAGUCGUUUGAUCUGCCAGAAACCAACAGAGAGCAGGAUGCAGGUCUCACCAGCCUUUCUCCAGCGAACACAGAGAACCUGGUGGUGUUGGUUUGGAAGCACAGGUGGUGCUGGCCGGAGGCGUGAGCUGUGAAGAUUCAGAUCUAGCCGCUGUUAUUUGUGUUUCAACACGGGAAGAAGAUUUCCGACGUACUUCCUGGUUUGGGUCUCUGACGGUAACCGUGACGCCCAGGUGAGGCGAGUGGCUGAACGACGUGACGUCCCACGGCUCCAAGAAGAAGUUUCCUGCAGAUCGAAGUACAUGGCAGCGGCCAGCGGCAGGAAGCCCAGGAGCAGGAGAACCACCCGGAGGAAAUCCAUCCUGAAUUCUCCAGAGUUUCACCGUUCAGACUGAAGAACGUCGUCGGUGUGAAACAUCAGAUUUAUUUCUGUGGAAAUGAAUCAGAUUCAGAUCCGAUGUGCAGUCAUGAACGGCCGACGUUCCCGACUGUCGCAUGUUUAAAGGAAGUUUCUGCCAAAUAAACUGGAAAUCUGGGUAUAAAUCCACCAAACUGCCUCCAGUCUGAUUAAUAAAUGCCUUUUUCUGUCUGAUGGUAAUUUUUUCAUUUAUUGUUCUGGAUAUGAAAAUAAAAAAAACAAAUAAAACACUUUCUGACUUCUUCAUGAUUUGAUUUUUGGCUGUGAUUUGAAAAAGGAAAGUUUUAAUUCAGACCUUUAAUGUUGGGUUGGAGUUUAAAAGUGACUUCCAGGAAAUUUGUUGUUUUUUAAACCAUCAAAACAGAAAAUAUAAACUUUUAAAUGAGUAGAAUGUCCAAUCAUCUGUUGGUUUGAUACAUUUAUUAUGCUGUUAAUAAGAACAUAAAAUCUGAUCACUUAUUAAUAUGUUUUAAAUUGUUUUGUGUUGUUUAUAAGAUCAAUAAUCAGAAGUUUUAUCUGCAGUUGUGCUGCGUGGAAACGGCGCCCCCUGGUGGAGACACAGAGCUAACGAGGGGAAACUGGACAGGUUUACAUUUAAUGAGGAUUUAUUACGAUUUAAAACGUUAUUGGAUCAAUUAUUCCUCAAACGAUUCAACUCAAACUCGGUUCUGCUGUGCACAACAAAUUAAAAUAUUAUCUAAAAAAAUUUAUGUUUCCAGUAAAUUAAUUAAAAAAUGUGAGUUCUGAAAUUAUUUUUCCAGAUCCAACCGUUGGACAGAAAUCUGUUGGUAUGUAAAUUAUUGGCUCUAAUUUAGCACCAGAAUAAGGAAACAAAGAUUGAAAUUUAUUUUGAUCCAAACAGUUUCAUCUCUAGAGCUUCACAAAUGUUCUGUUUCUUUUUACUUUAAUUUACUUUGAACAGCAGAAAAAUGAAAAUCCUUGACAGUGGAGAUGCAUUUUAAUAAAGUUUUUCUGAUGAUUUAACUAAAUGAUGCUAACAGCUAAACGCAGAAACAGAAACCCAGCCGUCACCUUCCACAGUUUAUUUCCUUUUAAAAUAAUUCAUACAAAUGCAUACAGUCACAAACAUCUUUUUCAGUUGUUGUCGUUUGACCAAAAAUAAGGAUAUUUACUGUAGAAUAUAGAUUAAUAUGUGUACUGAAUAUUGCUACGCCUACUACGUCACCAUGAAGGCCGGCAGCAGGGGGCGCUCCCGCCAGGGACGGCAUUUCAGGGGAACCGCCGGAUCCGUCGGUUUGGACCAGGAAUGUUUGCAGUUUGUGUGGGAAGAACCAGAACCUUCAGUCUGCGGCGGCGCGGAGCUGUAGGUUCUUUUCAUUUUAUUCAGAAUUACGAGGAUGAAGUCAGAAAAUUAUGAGAAUAAAGACACAAAAAUACCAGAAGAAAGAUGGAAAGUUUUUAGACAAAAGCAAAACUUUGAUAGUUAUUAAAAUCACAAGGUUUCCUGGUGUUGUUUUUAAUCCUUUUUGAGGUAAAAUAGCUUCUUUAUUCUGCUGAUAUUAUGAUUAUUUAAUGACUUUAGUCUCAUAAUUUCAUUGAUUUUAUUAUCACAUCAUGACUGACAUGCAGUUUUGUUCUCGUAUUUCUACUUCCUGUCUGAACGGUUUUGUUCUUACAUUAUUUUGACUUUAUUCUCGUAAUCCAACAUUUUGGGCCCUAACAGCCUGAAACGCUCUGCGGUGGAAAUGUCCAUCCCUGACCGCGACGCUCGCUGCCUCACCAUGAAGAAGACCAGGUAGGCAACAGGAAACUGUUUUUACUACGCAGCUGCAGUAGGGGGAGCAGAAAGGGAUUCUGGGUAAUUUACUGCCCCCCCUACUGGCGCCGCUUUUAGACACAGAAACAACCAAGUCACAUAGACACAGGCAAGCAGAACACUGUAUGUACACAUGAAGAGAGCAGGUGGUUAAAUGGUAGCAACAGGAAGGGCUUGAUGUCAGAGGGACUCCAGGAAACCUCAGGCCGCUCGGGGAAACAAACGCCGCCGCUUCUCUGUGCUCAUGUCUGUUUGUGGAAAGCAGGCAGGCGUUUCUUCUUGAGAUGUUAAAACAAUCUUCAGAGAUCAUCCGAGUCUCAUCUUUACCCAAGUUUAACCGUUUUUACUGUCGUAACAUCCCGGGACCUGGAAGGUGGAAGAAUCAACUUAAAGUGCAUAACAGAGUCGUAGUUUAGAGCCAGGAAACCCGAAAAUACAAAAUAAAAGACGUGAAAUAAAUCACAACUGGCCUUUUCUGUUUAAAAAAGUAUAAAAGUAAUUUAAAAAAACGACACCUAUCGCUUUGUGUAAAACAGGAAGCACUUCCAUAUAUGGAUGAUGUUGUUUUCUGUUGUAGACAGAAAACCAAACUAUUUAAGGCGAAUAUGCUAAGCUAGGUGUGGGGUGAGGAUGUAAACGAGCCAGGAAGGCAGAUUUUAGUCCUCAGAAAAAGUUUUAUUGUUUGAAACAUUUUCUGCUUCCGAAUUCAAGAGAAAAACUAACUGAAAGCUAAAGAGAGAAAACGAAAUGCUGUUCAUGACGCAGCUUGGACAGAAAUCUGGAAAAGGAGUUUGUGAGCAUAAAGUCAAUCAAAUAGCAAAAAGCUUUCUUAAGAGUUUCUGUUCGCUCCAAACUGUCAGCUGCAGCUUCGACUUUGUGUUUUUCUCUUUGUGUCUGAGCCAAAUGACGAAUGUUCGCCUUCGUCUGAGUGUCUACCUUCAUCUUUAUUAGCUUGUAGUGAAAGUUGAAGCUAAGCUAAGUGUUGUUGUGUGGAAACUGAUUCAGAGUUUGAUUUGUGAUGGAGUUAAACCCUCAGGGGUAAAACAUGGAUCCAUUAUGUGGAACAAAAUGAGACCUGUACAGGUCGCCAUGGCAACGUUCUCUCAGCAGGUCUCAAUCUCAAUCUGACUUUUUUUUUGCAUGAU